UACGUAGGGUCCGAGCGUUGUCCGGAAUUACUGGGCGUAAAGAGCUCGUAGGUGGUUUGUCGCGUUGUUCGUGAAAACUCACAGCUCAACUGUGGGCGUGCGGGCGAUACGGGCAGACUGGAGUACUGCAGGGGAGACUGGAAUUCCUGGUGUAGCGGUGGAAUGCGCAGAUAUCAGGAGGAACACCGGUGGCGAAGGCGGGUCUCUGGGCAGUAACUGACGCUGAGGAGCGAAAGCGUGGGGAGCGGACAGG
rnacentral:rRNA from 1 species